rfam:Hordeum vulgare subsp. vulgare, WGS project CAJW01000000 data, contig: morex_contig_1576452
AACAUACUUCCUCCGUUUUAAAAUUUCUGUCUUAGGUUUGUUUAGAAAUGAAUGUAUCUAAAUACUAAAAUAUGAUUAGAUACAUUCAUAUCUAGACAAAUUUAAAAUAUUUUUUUUGAAAGGGAGGAAGUAUAUA